GAUACAAGGCUUCUUUCUAUGGUUUUGGUAGCAGACUGAUGAACGGUUCCCAACAGUUGCUUACAAAGAGUUUUUUAAUCUUUAAUUUGCUCAAUUAAAGAUAUGCAAAAGGGCUCUAAAAGGAGUCUUUGCUAAUUUCUAUAGGUUUAGAGAUGCUUAACAUUCAGUUGCUACUCCUCUGGAAUUUCUCUGAGGUUUAGCCUGCAACCAACCCAAACAAUUUUAUUUUUAAUAAUGCAAGUACAUGUAAUGGUUUUGUUUUGAUUUUCUUCUUACUACUUUUGUCUCCUGCGUGCUCCUCAUGUCCCCAAAGAUCCUGGCAGAUCUAGCAGAGGAGUAUCCAUGCUUUAAACUCAUAGAGGAGUCACUUCCAUCAAUUAUUUUCUGCACAGAAAUGUUAAUAUCUAAACACGGGGAAGAACUGGAAUCCUGUGCUCUGUAG
ensembl:lncRNA